rnacentral:lncRNA from 1 species
UUCUUUGAGAAGAGAACUUUGAGGCAGGGCAGCUAAACUUGUCCCCAAUACCACAACUGAUAACCCAAGUGAAGUCAUGUCCAGAGCAGUCAAAUCUGGUCCAUGUCCAGGUCUGUCAGAUCCAGGUCUAGGUCUGCCACUGCGUCCAGGCUUAAUCUGCAGUAUGGCUAAUCUUUAAUGGAUUUAAUGCUGCCUGUGAGGAGCUGGGAAUUCUGUGUAAAAAGAAGAAAAUGAUGUUGCUGUUGUUACUUCCCUCAAGAAUGACGUGUCCAUGGGAUAGCAUUUAAUUAUUCCAAAGAAGGAUACACAGCGCGAGGAUGUUAAAAUCAGACUGAGAAUGGUUGUUCCUGUUGUCACUUGGAUGCCCUGGAUAUCCAGUCAGAUCAGAUUCUGGAUGAACUGGAACCACUGAGCCUCACUGUUUUGCCUUCUCCAUCAGACCACACUACAACUGACCUUACAGAGAAAAGGCACCUUUUGCUGCAGCCCAUUGCAGGUUGUGUGCAGACAUUUCUCCACUUUGUAGCUCCAUGAAUGACCUCAGAGGAGGAAGAAGGAAACAGCUUCCAGCAUUACACAGUGUUGGGCCAGCUACACUCAGCAUCUUCUAUGAUCAGACCCUGAUGUGUGAGGAAACGUGAAAUGUGUAAGAGUUGUUCUUUGUUAGAAGCACAGUAUCAUCUGCUUUCACACUAUGAGGAAGAAUGUAAAAACCCAGACAUGUGAGAACCUCAAAAAACUCUUGGGAAGGUGGAAAAAACAUUUUAUAACUUUCUAACUGUGGACUAAAAUAUAUUCCCUUGAAGCAGAGGUAGGGCUAGUCUAGCUACCUUCCUAAGAAAUCAGCACCCUUGUCAUCCUCUAGUAAGGAUGAGGCAUGGCCAUUGGAACAUUCCUCAGUUUGCCCAAGGAUUUAAUUGAUUACUGAAGAGGUACUGCAGUGUCUUGGUGUUAGGCUGUUCUGCUCAUCAAACCCGUUGGGACAGGUUUUGAAAGGUAAG